UACGUAGGGAGCAAGCGUUGUCCGGAAUCAUUGGGCGUAAAGCGCGCGUAGGCGGCCCUGUAAGUCCGUUGUGAAAGUCAAAGGCUCAACCUUUGAAAGCCGAUGGAUACUGCAGGGCUAGAGUCCGGAAGAGGAGAAUGGAAUUCCUGGUGUAGCGGUGAAAUGCGCAGAUAUCAGGAAGAACACCCGUGGCGAAGGCGGUUCUCUGGGACGGUACUGACGCUGAGACGCGAAAGCGUGGGGAGCGAACAGG
rnacentral:rRNA from 1 species